CCUACGGGAGGCUGCAGUGAGGAAUAUUGGUCAAUGGGCGGGAGCCUGAACCAGUCAAGUCGCGUGAGGGACGACGGUCCUAUGGAUCGUAAACCUCUUUUGUCGGGGAACAAAGGCGCCCACGGGUGGGCGGAUGAGUGUACCCGAAGAAAAAGCAUCGGCUAACUCCGUGCCAGCAGCCGCGGUAAUACGGAGGAUGCGAGCGUUAUCCGGAAUCAUUGGGCGUAAAGAGUUCGUAGGCGGCAUGUAAAGUCAGGUGUUAAAGGCGCAGGCUCAACCUGUGUAUGGCACUUGAUACUUGCAAGCUGGAAUGCGGUAGAGGUAAAGGGAAUUCCUGGUGUAGCGGUGAAAUGCUUAGAUAUCAGGAGGAACAUCGGUGGCGUAAGCGCUUUACUGGGCCGUAAUUGACGCUGAGGAACGAAAGCCAGGGUAGCAAAUGGGAUUAGAUACCCCUGUAGUC
rnacentral:rRNA from 1 species